rnacentral:misc_RNA from 1 species
AACGUAGGGACCGAGCGUUAUCCGGAUUUACUGGGCGUAAAGCGCGUGCAGGCGGUCCUUCAAGUCUAACGUGAAAGCUCCUGGCUCAACUGGGAGAGGCCGUUGGAGACUGAGGGACUUGAGGAUGAGAGAGGUGAGUGGAAUUCCCGGUGUAGUGGUGAAAUGCGUAGAUAUCGGGAGGAACACCAGUGGCGAAAGCGGCUCACUGGCUCAUACCUGACGCUCAGACGCGAAAGCUAGGGGAGAGAACGGG